rnacentral:lncRNA from 1 species
CUAUUGUUUCAUUAAAAUUAUUCCUGUUGUGACUGGUUGCUGAAAUUACUGUGACUUUAUUAGUGUGAUUUCAAGUUUUUGAGGUCAGCUGUGGAGUACUAGUCCUUUUGAUAGUUAUUUGAUUAGAUCCUGAGUUUCAAGCUGAGUGUUGGGGUCUAAAUUGCUCAUGUUGGUUGUUUGCAGAGUUAUUAUUGCUCGAAAUUGGUUAUUUGGGUUGUAUUGAAGCUUAUUCAAAUCUUUGGAUUCCCUUAGGCUUGCUGCUGUUGCAUUGAUUAGCUGACUUCUUCCUCCUUUCUUUUAUUUUGCUCAAAAUUACCAGGUACACCCUUUUGUACGCACUUGCAAUUGGAAUGAAAAAUGGAGAUUUGAGCUUGCUGUUGCAUAGUUGUUUAUAUCUGUUUGGUUUAGCUGUUUAUAAGUUGUAGUAUAUUAGGGUUUAUCUGAGAAUUUAUCCUCAAUUAACGUAAACUCCUUGUAACUAGACUGAAACUAAAUUGUGGUAGUUAGAAUGAGUUUGUGGGAUUGUUUAAUUAGUUUCAACUUUUCUGUUUUACAAAAUGAAGUGAUUUGGAGUGGCAGAAGUCAUGUUCAUUUGUAAUGGUUUGCUAGGUCUAUAAUGGUAUUGGUAUUUGCUGGUCUAUUCUUUUGAAAGUUCGAAAUCCACUCUCAAUUUGAAAUCAAUAAAUUCAGGUGCUCUAAAUAAUUACAAUAGGCCCUCUGUGAAUUUAAUGCUUCUAGUAUUUUAAGGACUUGGUAUUAGGGGAUUUAUCUGAUUAGCUUAAGCUGGAAAUGAAAUUUGUAUUGAUCAACUGACUUUGGCUUUUAACCUUCAAUUAGUUAGACUGUUUCUUGUGGUGUAUUAAAACUCAGGUAUUAAUAAGUUGCAGAGUAUGAAUUUACUAUUUGAAAUCCAUGCUAGUUAAAAACAAAGGUAAUUCUGGGAUUUAAAAAAGAGAGUUUCAAUUGUCUAUAUGAGCUUGCUGUCGUUCUUUAAUCAGUUUCUUUAUGGUGUUUUCUCAUGUGAAAGUAGUCUUCAACGUUAUUUAUUAUUGCUUGUAUGGAAAUUUGAUGGAAAUUUAGGCUCAAGACGUGAAAGUUGGGCUAAUGGUCGGCGUCAAGGCCCAAAGCCUCCGCAUUCAGAGAUAAGAUCAGCAAAUAAAUUCAAACUUUUUCUCUAUCAGGGAUUUGAUCCCAGGAAGGGCAAUGGCUGUUGCCCAGAGUUUUUCCGCCCUGUUGGGCCUCAUCAAGUGGCCCAGUUCGUUGGUUGAGUUGGACUGCUUAGUGCAAUUCCUACUUUUGCCUAUUAACUAAAUUCACGUAGUUAAGUUUUCCUUUUUGUAGAGAUGCUUAAUCAAACAAAAAUUGUAGUCACUUUUCAUACCUUUUAAUAAAUGUUGAGACGAGCCUCCCAAACAAAAACAAAUGUGGGACCCUCGAUAAAUAAUUAUAAGAAUUGAUUAGAAUAUGGGAGGGUCAUUUAGUGAAUUUCAUGGCCUUCCCCGAAAUAAUAACACGACGCGUUUAAUUAAAAUACCUUCUUAAACUCGGGUGUGCAUUAAUGCGAUCCAAAUCCAAAUCUCAAUGAAGUCGAAAUGUGUCAAUGACUAUGGGUUCCUUGAUGGCGACGUGGUCAGAGACGCAUUUUCACGAUGUCACAAGUCUUUUAAAAUAAAUAACGGUAAAAGCGAUUUUAUAAAUAAAAGGCACAUACGCUAGCAUGUAUUAAAAUAGGAUAAAAUCAAAUACAACAGUUGAGUGACCGUUCUAGUACCACGGAACCCGGGAAUGUCUAACACCUUCUCCAGAGUUAACAGAAUUCCUUAUCUGGAUUUCUAGUUAGCGGACUGUUAACAGAGUCAUAAUAUUCCUCGGUUCGGGAUUCAAAUUGGUGACUUGGCACACCACAAAUCUCCCAAGUGGUGACUCUGAAUAUUUAAUAACCAAAUCCCUUUCCGAUUGUCCUUUAAUUGGAAAAACUCCUUUACGCUCCUUGGCCGGGGUGUAUAGCGAAAAAGGAGGUGUGAAAAGUACUACCGUCAAGCUCCAAUGUAUGUUAACUUCUGUUAGUCCUAAGUAUAAGCAAAAUACUUAAUCAUGUAAAUCUCGUAAAGCUAUGUUGCAUUCUUAAUUAUUUUUGCUGUUCAUGUUAUUUUACAUUGCUAGAAAGACUUCUUUUACUUUUCCCAUUAUAUAAAUAUGCCCCAAAUAUUUUUUUUAUCAUCUACUUAGUGGAACAGUAUGUCGGAAUUAUCUGUUGUUAGUUGUUACUAUUAUAGAUUUUGAUUGAACAAUCGGUGUAUUAAUUUACUUUUUUAAUCUUUUACUGGAUAUGAAUGAUAAUUUAGUUGUUGUGUGUAGGUUAUGGUUGAAAGUUUUUCUAUUUUUGUUGUUAAGAUAUAGGUUUUGACUGAAAUACUGUCUGUUUGUAACAAACCACUAUGAUGGGUUGGAGGAUGUGUGAUGUGGAGUUUCGGCCGUACUUUGUGCUUGGUGACUUAUGAGAGUCUUUUAGAGAAUGGAAUGCAUAUGAAACUGGAGUUCCAAUAGUAUUGAAUGAAGGGUGAUAGUGUAGUUCAAUAUCUAUGUAGGCUAUUUGUUCCUUGAUUAUUAUUAUAUACAUAUUAAAACAUGUAAUAUUGAAAUUCCCAUUGACAGUAUUAGCAUCUCCCAUAAUUUCAGCAGUAGCAUAAACCCAAUUUGGUGCUAUAUCAGGAUGGAGAUAUUUUAUGCUUGAAGGAUUAACUGAAACACCAACCGGAAAGCUAUUGACGUGCAUGUACUUCACGUCAUUCUCUCAAGUUCUCCCUAAGGUAUCAUUCUGAGUGGUAACCAAGGACCACCCAUGUUUAGCCGAUAAACAGUCAAGGUAUAUAUUUGCAUGGUUUCUCCUUCCACAUUUAGCCUGAACUUAGCUUUUGUUACUCAUGGCCCAAUCAAAUUGCUGGCCGCAUCAGUUCAUGGUCUCAAUACCCUAUUGAAGAUGCUUAUUUUGUAUUUCUUUGAUUUUAUGUGUGCUCCUUAAUGCUUAUAUCAGUUCCACAAUUAUUAUUGGGAAUAUUUAUGCUUUGUAAAUAAUGAUUAUUUGUUUUUACAUAAAGUGC